GCGNGNUACGAUUGCCCUUGAGUUUGAUCAUGGCUCAGGACGAACGCUGGCGGCGUGCCUAACACAUGCAAGUCGAACGGCCCGCCCCAUCAGAUUCCUUCGGGGAGAAGAUGGGUUACCGGGCAGUGGCGGACGGGUGAGUAACGCGUGGAGAACCUAUCUUACAGUUGGGGAUAACCUGGCGAAAGUCGGACUAAUCCCAAAUACACUCUUUAAGUAGCAUUACUGAAAGAGGAAAGGUGCUACGGCAUCGCUGUAAGGUGGCUCCGCGUCGGAUUAGCUAGCUGGUGGGGUAACGGCUCACCAGGGCAACGAUCCGUAGCUGGUCUGAGAGGAUGAUCAGCCACACUGGGACUGAGACACGGCCCAGACUCCUACGGGAGGCAGCAGUGGGGAAUCUUCCGCAAUGGGCGAAAGCCUGACGGAGCAACGCCGCGUGAACGAAGAAGGCCUUCGGGUCGUAAAGUUCUGUCCUCAGGGAAGAACCCUCAUGGUAGGGAAUGACCAUGAGCUGACGGUACCUGGGAAGGAAGCCCUGGCUAACUACGUGCCAGCAGCCGCGGUAAUACGUAGAGGGCAAGCGUUGUCCGGAAUCACUGGGCGUAAAGGGUACGUAGGCGGAUAUAUAAGUCAAAUGUGAAAGGCACCGGCUUAACCGGUGAGCUGCAUUUGAAACUGUAUAUCUUGAGUUCAGGAGAGGAGAGUGGAAUUCCUGGUGUAGCGGUGGAAUGCGUAGAUAUCAGGAAGAACACCAGUGGCGAAGGCGGCUCUCUGGCCUGAAACUGACGCUCAGGUACGAAAGCUGGGGUAGCAAACGGGAUUAGAUACCCCGGUAGUCCCAGCCGUA
rnacentral:rRNA from 1 species